rnacentral:rRNA from 1 species
CCAGCCCACCACGGCACGUUGUGAGGUCACCCACAGGCUCAACUUUCGAUUGUGGUCCUUGACGCCGAGCAAGCACAAUGCGUGUCGCAGAUGUUCCUAACCGGACAACAUUGUCAGGACUGUGGAACGACACGCGCUCAACAGUCAGGACCGGGCGAUGACAGAGUUCUGGUACGAUCCUCUUGCGACGAGCCGCCUUCUGGCCGAUUUCCGAUGCUCAGGUCUCCCGCAUGUGCCGCGGGAGAUCGCUUUGGCGGUCUGGACCCGUAAGAGUCCUCUCAGCCGGGCAACGGAAAGAGUGGUGUAAAGUCCAA